rnacentral:rRNA from 1 species
AUUGAACGCUGGCGGCAUGCUUUACACAUGCAAGUCGAACGGUAACAGGUUAAGCUGACGAGUGGCGAACGGGUGAGUAAUGCAUCGGAACGUGCCCGGUCGUGGGGGAUAACGCAGCGAAAGCUGCGCUAAUACCGCAUACGAUCUGAGGAUGAAAGCGGGGGACCGUAAGGCCUCGCGCGAUCGGAGCGGCCGAUGUCAGAUUAGGUAGUUGGCGGGGUAAAGGCUCACCAAGCCGACGAUCUGUAGCUGGUCUGAGAGGACGACCAGCCACACUGGGACUGAGACACGGCCCAGACUCCUACGGGAGGCAGCAGUGGGGAAUUUUGGACAAUGGGCGCAAGCCUGAUCCAGCAAUGCCGCGUGCAGGAAGAAGGCCUUCGGGUUGUAAACUGCUUUUGUACGGAGCGAAAAGGCUCUCUCUAAUACAGGGGGCUCAUGACGGUACCGUAAGAAUAAGCACCGGCUAACUACGUGCCAGCCGCCGCAGUAAGAC